UGCGUAGGGGGCAAGCGUUGUCCGGAUUUAUUGGGCGUAAAGAGCUCGUAGGCGGUGUGUCGCGUCGGCCGUGAAAACCUGGGGCUCAACUCUGGGCGUGCGGUCGAUACGGGCAUCACUUGAGUUCGGCAGGGGAGACUGGAAUUCCUGGUGUAGCGGUGAAAUGCGCAGAUAUCAGGAGGAACACCGGUGGCGAAGGCGGGUCUCUGGGCCGAUACUGACGCUGAUGCGCGAAAGCUAGGGGAGCGAACGGG
rnacentral:rRNA from 1 species